ACAAGCCUGUAAGUUCCUCAGCUACGACUACCAGGUACCUCGGGUUCCUCCCUCCUCCGAGAGACCGCCGAGGUGCGGGCUGUGAGAGGGGGAGCGUGGAGCCUCCGAGGCCGAGGUACGGAGUCUCGCUCUGUCGCCCAGGCUGAAGUGUAGAGUGCAGUGGCAUGAUCUCAGCUCAUUGCAACUUCCACCUCCUGGGUUGAAGCAAUUCUUCUGCCUCAGCCUCCGGAGUAGCUGGGAAUACAGGUGCAGGCUGCCACGCCCGGCUCAUUUUUGUGUUUUAGUAGAGAUAGGGUUUCACCAUGUUGCCCAGGCUGGUCUCAACUCCUGAGCUCAGGCAAUCCUCCCGCCUUAGCCUCCCAAAGUGGUAGGAUUACAGGCGUGAGCCACUGCACCUGGCCCUCGACUCACAGAUUUUCAAAAUACUUUUGAACAGUAAGCUGAGGACAGUGUUUAUUAUGACUAUACUGGUCUCCUUUCACUAGCUCACAAAAUUUAACUACAUCACUUGUCAGUCUCCUAAAAAUGCAGUGUAUGUGCUUUGAAACUUGUGAAUGAUCUGCUGAUUUGUGCUAUUUUAUAU
rnacentral:lncRNA from 10 species